GUGGAUGGUGACACAGGCAGCUGUAGAUGCUAGCUGGCUGCUAGGCUUCACCUGAGCUGCACCUUUGAACCAUGUUUGUGCUGUUGGUGCCUUUUUAAUGAGAUCAUCUAAAAGCGUAGGUAUGGAUUUUAUGAAGAAGGCAUCACCUGAUCAGUAUGAAGAACACAGUGUUUCCUCAACAUAAUAACAUGAAUGAAGCAGAGGAGUUAUUUAGGAAAACCUGCCAUAUAAUGACUCAGAGGCAACACUGCAUCUGACACAGUUCCUGUCUCCUCUCCAUGAAAUGCCACUGUUGGAAACCUGCUGAUGGGCAGCACUAUAGACUGUAUAUAAGAGAUGGGCUAAGGUACUCUGUGUCUCCAUGUCAAAGAGGCCACACCCCUAAUUAUGCAAGCAUUAAGUCUUAAUUUAAACAGGUUUAACAUAGAAGUCUAUGGGGACUGACUCACUCCUGUCUCUGCUGGAUAUUAGAGGAACUGCACGUUCAGUUUCGAGCCUCGAGGUUAAUUUAGGAUAACUUUAAAGGUAUGGUGUGUAAAGGUAGAUUGAACUGAGUUAUGCUUCUUUACUCCUCCAAACUGAAGCCCAUAAACUACGGCAGCUUUUAUAGCACAAACAUGUUUUAGUCAGCUGAGAGAGAUCACAAACAUUAAAUACUGACUGUACGUCGUACUAUACACGGCUGGUGUGUUUCUACUACUGUAUGUGUAAAAGAUACAUUUUUGUUUCACUAUUUCUAAAUAUAUUUCAAUAAUAUCAGCA